rnacentral:rRNA from 1 species
UACAUGGGGUGCAAACGUUGCUCGGAAUUAUUGGGCGUAAAGAGCUCGUAGGCGGCGUGUCGCGUCGGAUGUGAAAGCCCGGGGCUUAACUCCGGGUCUGCAUUCGGUACGGGCAUGCUGGAGUUCGGUAGGGGAGACUGGAAUUCCUGGUGUAGCGGUGAAAUGCGCAGGAGUAAUCAGGAGGAACACCGGUGGCGAAGGCGGGAUCUCUGGGCCGAUGACUGACGCUGGAGGAGCGGAAGCGUGGGG